rnacentral:rRNA from 1 species
UAAUUAAAUGGCUGCGGUAUUUUGACCGUGCAAAGGUAGCAUAAUAAUUAGUUUUUUAAUUGGGAACUGGUAUGAAAGGUCGAACGAAAAAAAAACUGUCUCAAUUUAAUUUAAAUUAGAAUUUUAUCUUUAAGUAAAAAAGCUUAAAUAAUUUUAAAAGACGAGAAGACCCUAUAGAGUUUUAUAUUUAAAUAUUUAUAUGAAAAAUUAAAGAAUUGUUUUUUUUUUGUAAUUAUUUAAUUAUUUAGUUGGGGCGAUUAAAAAAUUUAAAUAACUUUUUUUAAAUAAUAACAUUGAUUUAUGAAUAAGUGAUCCAUAUUUAAUGAUUAUAAGAUUAAAUUACCUUAGGGAUAACAGCGUAA